AUUGAACGCUGGCGGCAUGCCUUACACAUGCAAGUCGAACGGCAGCACGGGAGUAAUCCUGGUGGCGAGUGGCGAACGGGUGGGUAAUAUAUCGGAACGUGCCCAGUCGUGGGGGAUAACGCAGCGAAAGCUGUGCUAAUACCGCAUACGAUCUAAGGAUGAAAGCGGGGAUCGCAAGACCUCGCGCGAUUGGAGCGGCCGAUAUCAGAUUAGCUAGUUGGUGGGGUAAAGGCCCACCAAGGCGACGAUCUGUAGCUGGUCUGAGAGGGCGACCAGCCACACUGGAACUGAGACACGGUCCAGACUCCUACGGGAGGCAGCAGUGGGGAAUUUUGGACAAUGGGCGCAAGCCCGAUCCAGCAAUGCCGCGUGCAGGAUGAAGGCCUUCGGGUUGUAAACUGCUUUUGUACGGAACGAAACGGCCCUUUCUAAUACAGGGGGCUAAUGACGGUACCGUAAGAAUAAGCACCGGCUAACUACGUGCCAGCCGCCGCCGUAAGAC
rnacentral:rRNA from 1 species